CAUCGUGAGGUGGAAUCUGAAGGAAGCCGGAUGUGGGGAACCUACUAACCCAUGGGCAAACCUCUGGUCUGACGAACAGAAAUCGCAUAGAAGGCUGCACAUGGGGGUAAGUCUGCAACACAAGAUGAAGCCCAAUAGCUACACGGAACCGUGUGAAGUAGAUGCUGCAGAUAGAUGGAGGGAAAGAAAC
rnacentral:ncRNA from 1 species